UACGGGGGGGGUAAGCGUUGUUCGGAAUUACUGGGCGUAAAGGGCUCGUAGGCGGCCAACUAAGUCGGACGUGAAAUCCCUCAGCUUAACUGGGGAACUGCGUCCGAUACUGGAUGGCUUGGAUUUGGGAGAGGGAUGCGGAAUUCCAGGUGUAGCGGUGAAAUGCGUAGAUAUCAGGAGGAACACCGGUGGCGAAGGCGGGUCUCUGGGCCGAUACUGACGCUGAGGAGCGAAAGCGUGGGGAGCGAACAGG
rnacentral:rRNA from 1 species